rnacentral:rRNA from 1 species
GUGGGGAAUAUUGGACAAUGGGCGAAAGCCUGAUCCAGCCAUGCCGCGUGUGUGAAGAAGGUCUUCGGAUUGUAAAGCACUUUAAGUUGGGAGGAAGGGCAGUAAGUUAAUACCUUGCUGUUUUGACGUUACCGACAGAAUAAGCACCGGCUAACUUCGUGCCAGCAGCUGCGGUAAUACGAAGGGUGCAAGCGUUAAUCGGAAUUACUGGGCGUAAAGCGCGCGUAGGUGGUUUUGUAAGUUGGAGGUGAAAUCGCCGGGCUCAACCUGGGAACUGCCUCAAAAACUGCAUGACUAGAGUACGGUAGAGGGUAGUGGAAUUUCCUGUGUAGCGGUGAAAUGCGUAGAUAUAGGAAGGAACACCAGUGGCGAAGGCGACUACCUGGACUGAUACUGACACUGAGGUGCGAAAGCGUGGGGAGCAAACAGGAUUAGAAACCCUGGUAGUCC